CUGGUCAGGAUACUCGGCU
rnacentral:siRNA from 1 species